rnacentral:rRNA from 1 species
AUUGCCCUAGUAACGGCGAGUGAAGCGGCAACAGCUCAAAUUUGAAAUCUGGCUUCGGCCCGAGUUGUAAUUUGUAGAGGAAGCUUUUGGUGAGGCACCUUCUGAGUCCCCUGGAACGGGGCGCCAUAGAGGGUGAGAGCCCCGUAUAGUCGGAUGCCGAUCCAAUGUAAAGCUCCUUCGACGAGUCGAGUAGUUUGGGAAUGCUGCUCAAAAUGGGAGGUAAAUUUCUUCUAAAGCUAAAUACCGGCCAGAGACCGAUAGCGCACAAGUAGAGUGAUCGAAAGAUGAAAAGCACUUUGAAAAGAGGGUUAAAUAGCACGUGAAAUUGUUGAAAGGGAAGCGUUUGUGACCAGACUUGCGCCGUCCCGAUCAUCCGGUGUUCUCACCGGUGCACUCGGGACGGCUCAGGCCAGCAUCGGUUUCGGCGGGGGGACAAAGGUCCGGGGAACGUAGCUCCUCCGGGAGUGUUAUAGCCCCGGGCGUAAUGCCCUCGCCGGGACCGAGGUUCGCGCAUCUGCAAGGAUGCUGGCGUAAUGGUCACCAACGACCCGUCUUGAAACACGGACCAAGGAGUCAAGGUUUUGCGCGAGUGUUUGGGUGUAAAACCCGCACGCGUAAUGAAAGUGAACGUAGGUGAGAGCUUCGGCGCAUCAUCGACCGAUCCUGAUGUAUUCGGAUGGAUUUGAGUAAGAGCGUUAAGCCUUGGACCCGAAAGAUGGUGAACUAUGCUUGGAUAGGGUGAAGCCAGAGGAAACUCUGGUGGAGGCUCGCAGCGGUUCUGACGUGCAAAUCGAUCGUCAAAUCUGAGCAUGGGGGCGAAAGACUA